CCCUUAACUUAAAACCUCUACCGAAUAGCUGUUCAGACCUGAGGCGUGUCCCAAAGGUUUGGAUACUACUUAAAUCUUGUCUGCCUGAUUAAAUUACUUAAUGUUUAUAAUCUUUUCUUAUGGAAAGCCAGCCUGAGCCUGCCGAAUAAUAUUAACACCAGAAAAGCCUUGGCUUGGCUUGGGACAGGACUGCACCUCUGUUCCCCCAGCUUUUCCAUUAAAAAGAAAAAGAAAAAGAAAAAAAUCUGGGUAGUAUCCUGGAGUAGCUUUGAAGCUCUGUGCUGAGCAGGACCAACUCAGACUCAGAAGUACCAGCCUAUUUAUCUGUACUGUAUUUCGGUGAGACAGCCAGGACCCGUGUGAACGCUGAACACAUUUUAAGUAAAGAAGGAGCUUAAGCUGAAGAGAGGGCAGGCAGAGGAGCCGUCGGGUGGACAGCGUGCUGGGCCCACGGGGCUUUGAGAUGCUUUGCAGGAUUGUCACUUGAUGUCGAACACGUUAUUCUCAGAGGACACUAAAGAGAAGCACAGGUACCCUGGGCUCCAGGGGGAUUCAUUAUUCAAGGCACAAAAUUCCCUACUCUGGUCUGCAACACAUUAUAAUUCAAAUGAGCCCAGCACAAUAGAAGAAAAUAUGCAAGCAGAUUUCUCCCUGUCGUGUUUUUUUUCCUCCUUUCUGAAGCCCUGUAAUUACAGCGGGCAGGUGGAGCAUCUGGGGUGUGGGGGAGUCCACUGUAUUUUUACCUUCCCAGGAACGCGACUUGCCUACCGCAUCAAUAUAUUUUAUUUUUAAUUAAGCGCUACUGAAUCUCUGCGCGAAAGCCUGAUUCACAACUUUUUCCUCCCUGCCAUUCCCUGAGAUGCUGCUGCUAUUACGGUCUCACAUUUCCCUUCUUAAAAUUUGCUUAGUAAAUUAGUUCUGCCCUUGGGCGAGCUCGGCCGCCCCUAGGUCCCCGAUCGCGGUCCUUACUCUCUUGUUCCCCCAGGCAGUCCCGGGCCAGUUUCUCCGCGCGCCCUGCCGCGCCACGUGCCCCAGCGCGGGGCCGGGCAGGGAGCAGGUCAGCAAAGAAUAAAGGACAUAGACUUUCAGGACACAUUGACUUGUUUUGAAUCCUGCUCUGGGACUCCUGCUUUGCAGAACAACAAAGGCAACAUGGCAGCUGCUUCUGACUCUCACUCUGGAGUAGCCUUCUCUGAAUCCCCACUUUGGGAACUGCUGUGUGACAGAGGUGUGCUGCCAUGACGUUGAGAUCACUUCACAUGGAGUCACAGUCCUUGCCUUUCAGGAACCUGUCAUGCUAUCCUGAAGCAUGUUGUGAAGAAGUCCAAGCCACAUGGUGAGGGAAGCCCAAGCCAUCUGUUGAUGCUCCAACACAUUGUCUUCACUGAGCCUUACCUUCAAGCUACCCAGCCCAGCACUGGAAAUACAGGACUGGAGCAUCGGGGACUCAUGACUCUGUGGCUUCUGAUGAGGACGGUGACAUAUUGCAGCAAUCAUCGUGUGCACAUAUUCAUUCCAUGAGGUAUAUUUCUGCACUGGAGGCAGACUGGCUCCUGGAAUGUGAGAAGCUAAGCCACUUGGCCUGUGGUAUCUUCUAUGGCAGCUCUAACAACUAAUAAAAACUAAUUCAGAAGGGAAUGAGCCAGCGCUGGAGAGAAUGGGCCGGCUGGAAUGAAUUCCGGGCUCUUGUCGCGCCUCCCAGUGAGCAUCUCACUCCGCUUUAAGACCCCACCUUCUUCUCCCC